AACCCGUAGAAACUUACCCGGCCUGUACUGUCGAGAACCUUCGCAUAGAUGAUAUGGUGGCGUUGGGAAACUGAAGCACGGUGCUGCAAUGCUGUCGUCAGGCUCUGUCCUGAGGAUGUUGGAUUAGUUCGCAACGACGGCACCCCUCUACCUAGUUGCCAGCAUGUUAUGAUGGGACUCCUACGAGGACGGCCGUGACAAACCGAAGAAGGUGGGGAUGACGUCAAGUCAUCAUUGGCCUCUACGGCCAGGGCUACACACGUACUACAAUGGUAGGGACAGAGGGCUGCAAGCCGGCGACGGUAAGCCAAUCCCAGAAACCCUAUCUCAGUCCGGAUUGGAGUCUGCAACUCGACUCCAUGAAGUCGGAAUCGCUAGUAAUCGCAGAUCAGCAUUUCUGCGGGAAUACG
rnacentral:rRNA from 2 species